UACAGAGGUCCCAAGCGUUGUUCGGAUUCACUGGGCGUAAAGGGUGCGUAGGUGGUGAGGUAAGUUUGAUGUGAAAUCUCCGGGCUCAACCCGGAAAUGGCAUUGAAUACUAUCUUGCUAGAGGAGUGGAGGGGGGACUGGAAUACUUGGUGUAGCGGUGAAAUGCGCAGAUAUCGGGAGGAACACCAGCGGCGAAGGCGGCACUCUGGGCUGGAACUGACGCUGAGGAGCGAAAGCGUGGGUAGCAAACAGG
rnacentral:rRNA from 1 species